AGUAAGACCAGGUGCCAAUCCCCGAGGUGUGUUUCUGCUGCUCUUACACACCGAGGCAGACCCAUCAGCUUUUGAGUGUUAAUUACCUCUUCCUGCUGUUGUCAUCUGUACUUGGGAGUAUGAGGCAGAAAUAAGCUAUUAUCUUCUGCAGAAGACAAUUACUGAACUGAUUUUCCAGAGUUGGAAUUAACCUUCUGUGGCCUAGUCACCUUCAUUUCUAUUUGAAUCCCCGGAAUAGUGAAAACAAUGACCAUUGCGUGCUGAGUACCUGCUCUGUCCUGGCAUCUUACAACUCUAUUCCAAAGUCUGUGCUGCUUCCAUAGGACUGUUCUCACUUCUUUCCAUUUUGCAAGUUCUCAGCCUGGCGGCAGUCUCCCUGCCCGAGUGGAUGGUGCCACCACCUCUUACUGAAGGAGCGGUUUCUGAGGGAGAGCGCCUGUGCUGUGCAGCUGUCUCCCGCGAGGCGCCCUUUGACAAGUCUGUCUUCUGUCUCCCCUCAAUGACACUGUGGCUUCAUGGAGUCUCAUUGCAUGCCCAGCACUUAGCACAGGGCAUCCCUGCAUGGCUGCGUUGUUCCCUGCAAGGCUGCAUUUAGGCUUUCCUUUUCCUGCAAGUGCUGCCUCGUCGUCUUUCCUUUCUCUCGUCUCAGCAGCAGGAAGAGCAAGUUCUUUCUCUGCCUCCCCGCUGCCUGGCUCCUUCAGCUAUCACCAGCCAUCCCCUCUACCCAGCCCUCACUCUGGUGCCACAAUUGCUACUUUCCUGGCUUCUUCACGGGGACCUGACAUACCCUUGAGUCUCCUGUACCUGAAGAAAACCUCCUUGCCAUCCUUCUAAGCAAGCAGUUUCUGUCUUGUCGCUUCCUUUCUGGCUCACAUCAAGUCUCUCAGAGGAAGGGGCUAGGGCUGGCGGUGCAGCAAGGGAGAAGACAGGGAGGACAGGCCCUGUGUCCAGCUUCCUCCUAAAUGCUACUCAAACGACCCACAAGGACAGUGGAGGAAAGCGGGCGACACGCUUCUGGAAGACGGAAAACAGAAGUGAGUGACAGCGGACUUAACCUAGAGACACCCAAAACUUAAGCUCCUGCACAGUGAGAGGCUGACAAGUAGUCAGCUGAGCAGUGUCUGCAACGCUGGAGGAGUCCAGAGCCGCAGGCCACAGAGGCAAGGACAGGCCAAGACACGGAAAGGCUGGGAGUGUGCACAAGGUGCAGGGAGACCCCACUGCUUCCCCUCACACCUGGCAGAGGAUGGCGGGUUCCUUUCUGGAGAGCUUGACAAGAACACCUCUGUGCUGGGGACACAGGCCUAGCUGAGUGGCGGUGAGGUGGCACCCUGAAAACAAGCAUUGGGGGAAAGUCUGCAGAGCUCCCAGCGCCGCUCCCCAGAGUCCCGUGUGAGGCCUGCCACCUGACAGCUCAGCCUCACUUCCAAAGAGUGGCUCAGCUUUCCCAGCCAAGAUCACAUGUGAAGAAAAUCUCUUGAAACACAGAUACCAAAACAGAGAAAAGAGGGAGUUAGGAGAAAUGGAGGCAAUGAAGGGAAUGAAGAAAACUUAAAAAAAAAAAAAAAAAAAAGUAUUGAGCCUGUGAAUGAACAAGAAGUUGAAAAAAAACACACAACAAGAAAAAUAUAUUGGAAAUAAAUAUCAUGGCAAAAAAAUUUUUAAUAGAAGAAAUGCAAGAUAAAGCAGAAUAUAAUAUAGACCUGGAGGAAAGGAGAAAAUAUAAGAACAUUGGAGGCUGAAGUCAGGACCUCCACUGCCGGAAUAUUGGGAGAGCCAGAAACAGAACAAAGAGGAAGGAGGGGGAAGAAAAUGCCCCCGUGAUCCAGGAUAAGGAGCAUUCAGAUCAAAAUUCCAGCACAAUCAAUGAAAACAGAGUCUACAUCAUCAGAAAAUUCUAGAAUCUGAGGGAUAAAAGGAAGCCCUUAAGAGCCUCCAGGGAAGAGCUCGAGUCACACACACAGGGGACCUGGAUCACAGCGCACUGACUUCUCCGCAAGAACUCGGAAAGUUAGACGACAAUGAAGAAAUGUCUUUAAAGUUCUGAGGGAAAUGAUUUCCAGAAUCCUCUACGCAGCCAUGUUAUUAACCAAAAGUGGGAGAGAAUACACUUCAGCAAAAUGUGGCCAACAUCCCAGCCAGAGGACGGGACAGGAAUGAGGGUGGCCUGGAUGGCAGCGACACAGAGAGCCCAGACUAGAGCUGGUAGGGAGGACCUUCCAGCGGAUAGUCAGGACCCGGGUUCUGGCCAUGCUCUCAGAAACUGCGAGGCUGAAUUACAAUCCUAGAAACUAAGCGAAAUGCAAAACAAAACAAAAAACAAACUUGAAGCAAUUUUUAAUUUCAAGAAAAACAUAAAGUUGUCCAAGAAAGGAAA
rnacentral:sRNA from 1 species